AACGUAGGGGGCCAGCGUUGCUCGGAAUCACUGGGCGUAAAGCGCACGUAGGCGGCUUUUUAAGUCAGGGGUGAAAUCCUGGAGCUCAACUCCAGAACUGCCCUUGAUACUGAGAAGCUUGAGUCCGGGAGAGGUGAGUGGAACUGCGAGUGUAGAGGUGAAAUUCGUAGAUAUUCGCAAGAACACCAGUGGCGAAGGCGGCUCACUGGCCCGGUACUGACGCUGAGAUGCGAAAGCGUGGGGAGCAAACAGG
rnacentral:rRNA from 1 species